rnacentral:tRNA from 1 species
UCCUGCGUUGCACAAACGGUUAAUGCACUUGGCUGUAAACCAGAAGGUUGGAGGUUCGAGUCCACCCAGAGGCA